GUGCCAGCCGCCGCGGUAAUACGGAGGGUGUAAGCGUUAUCCGGAAUCAUUGGGUUUAAAGGGUCCGUAGGCGGGCUAAUAAGUCAGUGGUGAAAUGCAGGGGCUCAACUCCGGCACUGCCAUUGAUACUGUUAGUCUUGAAUUAUUGUGAAGUGGCUAGAAUAUGUAGUGUAGCGGUGAAAUGCUUAGAUAUUACAUAGAAUACCGAUUGCGAAGGCAGGUCACUAACAAUACAUUGACGCUGAGGGACGAAAGCGUGGGUAGCGAACAGGAUUAGAAACCCCAGUAGUCC
rnacentral:rRNA from 1 species